UACAGAACGCCCGGGCUUCGGCCUGGUUAUUCAUAACCCUUUGUUGUCCGACUCUGUUGCCUCCGGGGCGACCCUGCCUUCGGGCGGGGGCUCCGGGUGGACACUUCAAACUCUUGCGUAACUUUGCAGUCUGAGUAAACUUAAUUAAUAAAUUAAAACUUUUAACAACGGAUCUCUUGGUUCUGGCAUCGAUGAAGAACGCAGCGAAAUGCGAUAAGUAAUGUGAAUUGCAGAAUUCAGUGAAUCAUCGAAUCUUUGAACGCACAUUGCGCCCCCUGGUAUUCCGGGGGGCAUGCCUGUUCGAGCGUCAUUUCACCACUCAAGCCUCGCUUGGUAUUGGGCAACGCGGUCCGCCGCGUGCCUCAAAUCGUCCGGCUGGGUCUUCUGUCCCCUAAGCGUUGUGGAAACUAUUCGCUAAAGGGUGUUCGGGAGGCUACGCCGUAAAACAACCCCAUUUCUAAGGUUGACCUCGGAUCAGGUAGGGAUACCCGCUGAACUUAAGCAUAUCAAUAAGCGGAG
rnacentral:rRNA from 1 species